rfam:Triticum aestivum genome assembly, contig: Triticum_aestivum_CS42_TGACv1_scaffold_221010_3B
AUUCUACUCCCUCAGUUGCACAAUACAUGCCUUCUAUUUGUUAAAAUAUAUAUGUAGCUAGACAUGUUUUAGUAUAUAGGUACAUCCAUUUUUGGACAAAUGGAAGUCAAGUAUUUUGGACCGGAGGGAGUACACA